CAGCCUCUAGUUCGUUCAAAACUGUAGCUCUUCCAGAGGAUAAUAUGUUCCUAACUUCUGCAUUCACAUUAGCUUGCAAGGCAGAAAAUGCUGGUGCCCAAGGUAAUGUGUCAGAAACGUUCAGUUCUAACAAAUUCUUGGCUGAUCCAGAGAAGGCUGCAGCAAAAAUACUACAAACAAAUACAGUCAACACCUUAACCCCAUACAUUGCGCGCAUCAAAACCUUCCCUUUGGCUGAGUUCUUAACCUUGGGCAAAUCCAAAGAAGCUACCAGAUUGUCUAAGAUUGAACGACAGCUCUCAACUCUGGGGUUCUUUGAACUAAUGUGCUCCCUCCAGUUAUCAAGAGAAGAACAGGCUCGCCCAAACUGUGUUGGAGAGGAAGAAUCCAAAGUGUGCAAGACACACUGAAGCAAUAGGUGGCCUUGGCUGACCUUCGUGAGAACAGAGCUAAAAGCAAUGCAUAUAUCAAGCAAGUUUACACUGAUGUCUAAGUACACGUCUAUCCAUUUCUCAUCCCAGUCACUUACAGGAAGCUCCAACUCAGUUAUAAGGUCUUUUAUGACAUUGUGAGUCUCACAAAGUGACUCCAUUGCCAGUCUCAUCCAUGAUAAGUUGAGGAUAUCAUCCUUGUCUUUCGGCAUAAGUUUUCUCAGCCUCUCUGCCAAGGUCUCCUCAAAAUCAGCCAACAGAGAUACAAGCU
rnacentral:lncRNA from 1 species